UACGGAGGGUGCGAGCGUUGUCCGGAAUCACUGGGCGUAAAGGGCGCGUAGGUGGUGACCUAAGCGUGCGGUGAAAGCCCGAGGCUCAACCUCGGGUCGGCCGUGCGAACUGGGUCACUGGAGCAGAAUAGAGGCAGGUGGAAUUCCGGGUGUAGCGGUGGAAUGCGUAGAGAUCCGGAAGAACCCCGGUGGCGAAGGCGGCCUGCUGGGUUCUGGCUGACACUGAGGCGCGACAGCGUGGGGAGCAAACAGG
rnacentral:rRNA from 1 species